UACGGAGGGUGCAAGCGUUAUCCGGAUUCACUGGGUUUAAAGGGCGCGUAGGUGGGCUGGUAAGUCAGUGGUGAAAUCUCCGAGCUUAACUUGGAAACUGCCAUUGAUACUAUUAGUCUUGAAUAUUGUGGAGGUCAGCGGAAUAUGUCAUGUAGCGGUGAAAUGCUUAGAGAUGACAUAGAACACCAAUUGCGAAGGCAGCUGGCUACGCAUAUAUUGACACUGAGGCUCGAAAGCGUGGGGAUCAAACAGG
rnacentral:rRNA from 1 species